rnacentral:rRNA from 1 species
GACGAACGCUGGCGGCGUGCCUAAUACAUGCAAGUCGAGCGCAGGAAACUGACGGAACUCUUCGGAGGGAAGGCAGUGGAAUGAGCGGCGGACGGGUGAGUAACACGUAAGGAACCUGCCUCAAGGAUUGGGAUAACUCCGAGAAAUCGGAGCUAAUAUCGGAUAGUUCAACGGACCCGAUGGUCCUCUGAGGAAGUGCGCUCCGGCGUCACCUUGAGAUGGCCUUGCGGUGCAUUAGCUAGUUGGUGGGGUAACGGCCCAACAAGGCGACGAUGCAUAGCCGACCUGAGAGGGUGAUCGGCCACACUGGGACUGAGACACGGCCCAGACUCCUACGGGAGGCAGCAGUAGGGAAUCUUCCACAAUGGACGAAAGUCUGAUGGAGCAACGCCGCGUGAGUGAUGAAGGUUUUCGGAUCGUAAAACUCUGUUGUAAGGGAAGAACACGUACGAGAGGUAAUGCUCGUACCUUGACGGUACCUUACGAGAAAGCCACGGCUAACUACGUGCCAGCAGCCGCCGUAAAAC